ensembl:lncRNA
CUUAUUUGCCCUGUAGCGUAUAGACAUUAAACUUAAUACUAAUCUUGUGGCUGUAAUGACUGACAGCCAAUAGUCAUUUUGAACCCUCGUAUCUGCAAAAUCUGACCGUCUGUUAGACAGGAACUGACCAGUGUUUCUGCUUGACUGUGCACCCAUCAGCUCCUGCCGUGUUCGUCUUUAUUUUUGGAAGGAGGGAUCACGUUACGGCCCUGAGAAGACCCCUCUGACAGGAAGUCGCCCGGCGGGACACCGCGUUGUCUCUCACUGGCUCAGGCCCUGAGCUAAGCUCACCCUCGGGGUGAAUCAUAUACACACAGACACGCUGUGGAAACACUGGUUAAACUCCAGCUGAACUUCACAUCAAUAUCCUCAUGACCUCGCCGUGCUAAUAAGAGCAGCACGCUGCUUGUGGUGAGUUCUCAUGGGCAGCUGAGGAAGAGCGCUGUGGUAAAAUGCAUUGAUACCAUAUUCAAAGGGAGGCCUGACUUGGGAAUAGUUUUGCAUUUACAUACACCUCUUCAGCUUGCCUGCACCCAGAUCUUUUGGAUCCACAAAUAGCAUGUGGAAGGAAGCUUUCCUGUACACAUAGCCAAGCGAAGGAAGAGAGAUGAAAAGGGAGAGAAAGUGAGGAGGAGGAGGAGGAGGGGCAGGGGGAGAACAUAAGAAAGCAUAGGAGCUGCUGGCAAGCCUUGGUGCUUUUAAUUGGUUCCAAGUGUCCCAGAUUUCCCUGCACUGGAGAGCUCCUCUGGUCCUCCUCUCUGGAGCUCUUCUGGAAUGGCCUCCGUAGCAGCAUGCACUCCAUUUGCCCCUGGAUUCUUUAUUGUUAUUAGGCGAUUUCCUGGGGAACUUCUGGAUGGCAGUACAGUGCAGUCUGCAUUUGUCAUCCAGCUUUAAAGCUCAAGAACUCAGGGAGCUGCAAAUCUCUGCAACCUUUAUACUUCUCCUGCCAAGAGUCUUCAAGACUGAAUCUUCCCCGAAGCCUAGAAGAGUUGUUUUGGCUGGCUCAUAAUGGAGCGACAGAGAGAAAAUCCAACAACCAAACAAACCAAACCCAACGUCAGUCCCCAGGUUUCUCUCAUUCAUCACCGCGAGGGGCCAGACCUGUGAAUGCACAUUCAGAGACCCCCAACCCUCCUGCUGAGAGCGAGCAGACCACCAUGCAGAAACCUCCACGUCUCUGGAUCUCCUCCCAUCCUGUUUCCCCACUGCCUGGCCCUGAUAAGUCGUCUUGGUCGGGAGGAACAGCGAUGGCCUUUGCCUGA